GUCUACAGCCAUACCACCCUGAAUGCACCUGUUCUUGUCUGAUCUUGGAAGCCAGGCAGGGUCAGGCCUGGUUAGUACUUGGAUGGGAGAAAGCAGGAAGAGCUAGCCA
rnacentral:rRNA from 1 species